GAUAAACGCGGCGGUGUACAUAGGACAUGCAAGUCGAACGGGAGGAGACUGGAAGAUUUAUCUACUAGUUGGACACCGUGGCGGACGGGUGAGUAACACGUAAGCAACCUGCCUAUAAGAGGGGAAUAACAGUGAGAAAUUACUGAUAAUACCGCAUAAGCUGGAGGUAUCGCAUGAUACAUUCAGAAAAGAUUUAUCGCUUAUAGAUGGGCUUGCGUCUGAUUAGCUAGUUGGUGAGAUAACAGCUCACCAAGGCGACGAUCAGUAGCCGGAUUGAGAGGUUGAACGGCCACAUUGGGACUGAGACACGGCCCAGACUCCUACGGGAGGCAGCAGUCGGGAAUAUUGCACAAUGGAGGAAACUCUGAUGCAGUGACACCGCGUAUAGGAAGAAGGUCUUAGGAUUGUAAGCUAUUGUCGUGUGAGAAGAAAAUGACCAUUCACAGGAGGAAGCCC
rnacentral:rRNA from 1 species